rnacentral:rRNA from 1 species
UACGUAGGGGGCAAGCGUUGUCCGGAAUCAUUGGGCGUAAAGAGCGUGUAGGCGGCCAGAUAAGUCCGCUGUGAAAACUCGAGGCUCAACCUCGAGACGUCGGUUGAAACCGUCUGGCUAGAGUCCGGAAGAGGAGAGUGGAAUUCCCGGUGUAGCGGUGAAAUGCGCAGAUAUCGGGAAGAACACCCGUGGCGAAGGCGGCUCUCUGGGACGGUACUGACGCUGAGACGCGAAAGCGUGGGGAGCGAACAGG